GACGAACGCUGGCGGCGUGCUUAACACAUGCAAGUCGAACGGCAAGGCCCUGCUUUUGUGGGGUGCUCGAGUGGCGAACGGGUGAGUAACACGUGAGUAACCUGCCCUUGACUGUGGGAUAACUUCAGGAAAGUGGGGCUAAUACCGGCUAGGAGCUCCUGCUGCAUGGGGGGGGUUGGAAAGUUUCGGCGGGUGGGGAUGGACUCGCGGCUUAUCAGCUUGUGGGUGGGGUAGUGGCUUACCAAGGCUUUGACGGGUAGCCGGCCUGAGAGGGUGACCGCGCACCUGGGGCCUGCGAGAGGGACCAGACUCGUACGGUAGGCAGCAGGGGAAAAUAUUGUACAGUGGGCCGAAGCCUGAUGCAGCAGCGCUGCGUGCGUGAUGACGGCCUUGGGGUUGUAAACCGCUUUCGCCUGUGACGAAGCGUGAGUGACGGUAAUGGGUAAAGAAGCACCGGCUAACUACGUG
rnacentral:rRNA from 1 species